ACGGACCCUUCGGGGUUAGUGGCGGACGGGUGAGUAACACGUGGGAACGUGCCUUUAGGUUCGGAAUAGCUCCUGGAAACGGGUGGUAAUGCCGAAUGUGCCCUUCGGGGGAAAGAUUUAUCGCCUUUAGAGCGGCCCGCGUCUGAUUAGCUAGUUGGUGAGGUAAAGGCUCACCAAGGCUACGAUCAGUAGCUGGUCUGAGAGGAUGACCAGCCACAUUGGGACUGAGACACGGCCCAAACUCCUACGGGAGGCAGCAGUGGGGAAUCUUGCGCAAUGGGCGAAAGCCUGACGCAGCCAUGCCGCGUGAAUGAUGAAGGUCUUAGGAUUGUAAAAUUCUUUCAGUAGGGACGAUAAUGACGGUACCUACAGAAGAAGCCCCGGCUAACUUCGUGCCAGCAGCCGCGGUAAUACGAAGGGGGCUAGCGUUGCUCGGAAUUACUGGGCGUAAAGGGAGCGUAGGCGGACAUUUAAGUCAGGGGUGAAAUCCCAGAGCUCAACUCUGGAACUGCCUUUGAUACUGGGUGUCUUGAGUGUGAUAGAGGUAUGUGGAACUCCGAGUGUAGAGGUGAAAUUCGUAGAUAUUCGGAAGAACACCAGUGGCGAAGGCGACAUACUGGAUCAUUACUGACGCUGAGGCUCGAAAGCGUGGGGAGCAAACAGGAUUAGAUACCCUGGUAGUCCACGCCGUAAACGAUGAUUGCUAGUUGUCGGGUUGUUUACAACUCGGUGACGCAGCU
rnacentral:rRNA from 1 species